rnacentral:misc_RNA from 1 species
GAUGAAGAACGUAGCAAAAUGCGAUAAGUAAUGUGAAUUGCAGAAUUCAGUGAAUCAUCGAAUCUUUGAACGCACAUUGCGCCCGCUGGUAUUCCGCCGGGCAUGCCUGUUCGAGCGUCAUUUCAACCCUCAAGCCCCCGGGUUUGGUGUUGGGGAUCGGCUCUGCCCUUCUGGGCGGUGCCGCCCCCGAAAUACAUUGGCGGUCUCGCUGCAGCCUCCAUUGCGUAGUAGCUAACACCUCGCAACUGGAACGCGGCGCGGCCAUGCCGUAAAACCCCAACUUCUGAAUGUUGACCUCGGAUCAGGUAGGAAUACCCGCUGAACUUAAGCAUAUCAAUAAGCGGAGGA